GAAUUUACAAAAUUGCUAAGGCAGUAAUACUAAUACCCAAAUGUUCCUACUACUAAACCGAACAAUACAUUAUGAAAUGUAUAAGCAUGGUCAAACUUCCACAAUCACAAUUCAAAUUCUUUUCAUCUAAUUGUAAUAAUACAGAUCCCCACACCCUGAAAUAAGAAUAAGUGCAUUGCUUUGGAACCAAAGCAUUGCAGCUUACUGGUAUUCCUCCCCUGUUGUAAAGGUGAGAGACAUGAGUAAGAAUCACAAUCCUCCCGUCCCCAACUCAAUGAAAAGAGCAUUGCUCUGGAAUCUGGAUUAUCUUUCUUUCUUUUUCAAUGGCUGGACAGCCCGGACUGCAAAUUAAACAAUUGUAAAAGAAGUUCAGCAUAUACCUUACCUUAAGCUUUAGGCAGAGGCGGUGGUGGUGGACCUGGUGGUGAACUGGUGAUAGCUGAGGCGGCCAGAUGCAGGGGUGAAGCGAGCCCGAGGCCGGAGGUGGUGGCGGCUGAGGCGGCGACUCGAGCUGGUAGUUCCAGGCGGCCGCUGACGCGAGUGGAGGCAUCGUGUCGUGGUGGUGCCGGCGUGCAGCAGUGGUUGACCUGGUGGUUCCGGGUCAGUGGCAAACGGCGGCUGCAGCGGACGGCGUGGAUCUUUGAGGUGGUGGCGGACGGCGCGGCGAGGUGAAUUGAAAUUGGGAAAAGAAAGGAGGAAAAAUGGAGGACUGGAGGAGGCGCCG
rnacentral:lncRNA from 1 species